UUUUUUUUUUUUUACAGGCGGAGUGGACAGUGAGAGAGAGAGACAGAGAGAAAGGUCUUCCUUUGCCAUUGGUUCAUCCUCCAAUGGGUGCCGUGGCUGGCACGCUGCGCUGAUCUGAAGGCAGGAGCCAGGUGCUUCUCCUGGUCUCCCAUGGGGUGCAGGGCCCAAGCACUUGGGCCAUCCUCCACUGCACUCCCGGGCCACAGCAGAGAGCUGGCCUGGAAGAGGGGCAACCGGGACAGAAUCCGGUGCCCCGACCGGGACUAGAACCCAGUGUGCCGGCGCCGCAAGGUGGAGGAUUAGCCUAUUGAGCUGUGAUGCCAGCCUUCAUUUUUCUUUAAAUGUGCUUUUCCUUGAUAAGACUCUCCCCUCCACCUCAGGUGUUUGCCCUUACUUUUUGGAGAUUUUUUUGGUGCAUUCUCUUAAAAUCUUUUCCUAUGAACUAACUUCUGUGUCAUUUUUCCAUUGGUGUCUGCUGUGCGUGAAUUGAGGUUUCUCCCUAGGUGUUGAGUAAGUUUGAAUCGUGUCUUAAACACUUGAACAGUGUUAUGAGAUUCUAGAUCUUGUUUAAAACCUGUGGAGAAUACUGAGUUUCAGACCGCUAGGUUUAACCAGCUGCCUUUGGAUUGUGGUUUCAGUGGCACUUCUGCUUCCAAAGCCUUGCUGUGCCGUGCUGUUCAGAUCUGUUUCGAGUGUGUUCCUGCCAGAGGCUGGUUUCCGACCUGGUCAUUGGUCAUCAUUUAUUUUUCAGUCUUUGCAGUGCUAUUUAGCAGCAAGUAAGUGCUGCUCAGGUGUGGCCCCUGGAAUCGCCAUACAGGUUCAUGGAAUCACUUUCCUGAGUCCUGGUGGUUGACCGUUUUCCUGUUAUCUUCUGUUGUGUUGGGCCCCUUUUUUCUUUUCUUCCACCUCUAAGACUGAUUUUUCAUUUUUCCUGUUCUGUUAUAUACUUCCUAAAACUAAUGCAAAGCAGUGCAUGUUUGCAUUGUCUGUGAUUCUGUGGAGUUCCUGCUGUCCAGUGCCAGGUGUACCAGUCUUUUGCAUUCAUUUGAGAGGCAGAGAGGAAAAGAGAGGGGGAGAGAGAGAAAGUGAGAGAGUUUUUGUCUGUGUUGUUCCCCAACUGUCCACAAUGGCCUAAGCUGGGGCCAAAGCUCAGAGUUGGUAAUUCAGUCCCUGUCUCUCAUGGGGGUGGCAGGAACUAAUCAGUUGAGACAUUACUGUUGCCUGCCCCAGAAGUUUGGUUAUCAAACUCAGGUACUCAAAUAUGGGAUGCAGGCAUUUUAACUAAUAGCAUAACUGCUAGGCUGAGCGCAUGCCCCAGAUGUACCAGUCUUAAAUGUAGACCCUGAAAUGUCCAUGCAUGUGGUUUACGUGCUCACCAGUCAGUGCAGACGGAACAUUUCCAGCUUCCUGGUAAGUUCCCUCAUGUUCCCCCUCUCCCUGCAUCAGCCGCUCUUCUGAUUUCUAGCACCAUGUCUGUUCUCAGACUUGACAUAAACAGAUCCUGAAAAGGGUGUUCUCACGUAUCUAGUAUUUUAGUCAAGGGAUUUUGUGGCCCAGCCUGGUGUAUUAUUUAAUAUGACUGUUUCAGACUCUGUUACACUCAAAACACCUAAACCAAAGCAGAUUCAGUUUUUUAAUUUAUAUUUUUCUUAGCUGUGAAAGUCUUAAAAUUCUUUGAAAUUUUCCAUAUUCCUUUUCCCAGUCAUUCAGUGAGUGUCUCCCUCAUUCAUUUACACUGUGUCUGUUACUUAUUCUCACAGGUUCAUCUUCUCCCAACUUCCUUUUCCUUCUUCCACAUUUCCUUCUGCCAGCACAGAGAUGAAAAGGAGAGUAAUAACUUCUUAUAUCCUAUUUGUUCUUUGCCAUGCUAACAUGUAGUUUGGGAAAAUUCAGGUUGAACCGAGUGUCUGUAGUUAGGGUACUAAUGGGGUGUUUUUCUCCCUUCUUUCUGACAGCAUGAUGGAAGUGGUUCAUUACAUGACAUUCAACUAUAAUUGCCAUCCAGUCCAGAACCAGAAGAUGGUGAUCAAAUAUGUAAGAAUGAAGAUUAAUUAAAUGAAAUUAAACAACUUAAAGAAGAAAGAAAGAAAAAAGAUGAAAAAAUCCAACUAUUAGAACAUCAGCUUGCAACUCGGUGUAACUGCCACCAAAAAUCUAAAGAUUUUUUGCACUUACGCUGACAAAUACACCCAGACUCCCUGGAGAAGAAUUCCUGGUGUCAGUGCCACCACCACACUCAGGCCUUGAAGAAUGGGGAGGUGACCAGGACCCGCUGGGUCAGGCACGGUGUGCAGCGGGGAUGUGGAGAGAAUGGCUGAGGUCCUGCAGCCACAGGCCAUGUCCUGGUGGUGACCCUGAAUGAGACCAGCCAGGAGAGCUGACACAGAGGAAAGAGCACAAGUCUGAGUUGCAGGCAGAGCUCUCUGCUAUGGCCUGGGAAAGCAGUAGAAGAUGGCCCAACUCCUUGGGCCCCUGCACCUGCAUGGGAGACCUGGAAGAAGCUUCUGGUUCCUGGCUUCAGAUCAGCACAGCUCUGGCCAUUGUGGCCAACUGGGGAGUGAACCAGCGGAUGGAAGACCUCUCUCUGUCUCUACCUUUCUCUGCCUCUCCUCUCUCUGUGUAAC